rnacentral:rRNA from 1 species
GUGCCAGCCGCCGCGGUAAUACGUAGGGUGCGAGCGUUGUCCGGAAUUAUUGGGCGUAAAGGGCUCGUAGGCGGUUUGUCGCGUCGGGAGUGAAAGCCCAGGGCUUAACCCUGGGUCUGCUUCUGAUACGGGCAGACUAGAGGUAUGUAGGGGAGAACGGAAUUCCUGGUGUAGCGGUGAAAUGCGCAGAUAUCAGGAGGAACACCGGUGGCGAAGGCGGUUCUCUGGGCAUUACCUGACGCUGAGGAGCGAAAGUGUGGGGAGCGAACAGGAUUAGAAACCCCUGUAGUCC